UACGUAGGGGGCAAGCGUUGUCCGGAUUUAUUGGGCGUAAAAGGCUUGUAGGUGGCCACGCCAAGUCGGAUGUGAAAUCUCCCGGCUCAACUGGGAGGGGUCAUUCGAUACUGGCGGGCUCGAGGCCGGUAGGGGGAAGUGGAAUUCCCGGUGUAGUGGUGGAAUGCGCAGAUAUCAGGAAGAACACCAACGGCGAAGGCAGUUCGCUGGGACGGUACUGACGCUGAGACGCGAAAGCGUGGGGAGCGAACAGG
rnacentral:rRNA from 1 species